AGUACUAUAUUAUUACUUCAGUAGCCUGUGACGAAAGGACAAUUACGAAUAAUGAAGUGUGCUGCUCUCAUCUUGCUUUGCUGUGUUAUAUUUCUCACCGUUGAUCUGAGUGCUGCAUUCACCGGCAGAUAUGUCAGCUUGAAGAAAUUGGACGACCGCUUAUUCGACGCCAAGGGGUUGCGGGAAAUUGCUAGAGCGAAUUUGGAAAACGAGAGAAUGGCAUCACGCUCUUAAAAUAUUUUUAAAUUACUGCUUUGGGAGUGAGCUAAAUGUAUUGGAACAGACUCCCGAUGCGUAUAAUCAUGAAAUGUUUGAGAAAUAAAAGUCAUGAUACAUA